CAUCGACGGUUGGCUGUACC
rnacentral:miRNA from 1 species